GUGCCUUGCAGUCAGGCACGGAGGAGAAAGAGUGUGUGUGUGUGUGUUUGUGUGUGUGUGUGUGUUUCAUAUGGGAUUGGUGACAUGCUGCCACAUGUUUGCUACCACACUUGGGACUGGGUUUAUAUACACGUAACGAUUAAAAACGCUCUCCAAGACGAGCAUCUAGAGUCUGUCCUCAUCUCGCCCUGAAAUCCGUUUUAAUACCUUGCUUUGGGCUUCAUCUCUUCCCUCUUCACCAUCAUAAGCUUCCAGUGCGACCGUCAUCCAAAACAUCCGAGCAGAAAGCUGCUGUCAGCUGCCAUAUUGCUCGCUGCUCCUGCCAGAAUGCUGCCCUUUGCAGAUGUAAUUUGCACUGUGUGUGGUUUGGAGCAAAUUUUUUUUUUUUUUUUGGAGAAGAUGGCUUAGGGGUGACGUGCUUUUCUUUGGACUGGCGGAGGGACAGGAGCCCUUCGUGCGGUUGCAGUGGGCGAGGAGGUUAACUGAGCCACAGCAGAGCCAAGAUGCUGCCUGGGAUAUUGACAGGUUGGAACCUGAGGGCUCCUGCAGGAUAGGAACACACUGCCAGAGGCUUGGUUACCACCACCGCCUGCCUGCCUUGGAGGGAGGGAGGAGUGUGAGCAGGAGAGAAGGAUGAAGGGAGGGUGAUUUGGAAACAGUGAGGAAAGGCUAGAAUCUGGGAUUUCUCAGACCAGAAAAUGUUAUAUGAAGGGCAUGGCUGUCAAACUCUGUUUCAGGAUUGAAAAAGGAACUUCUUACAUUAAUAAAUAAGCAAAAAACAAAAAAACAAAAGAAAGUUGCAUGUAAAUGUACCCACGUUACAUGUUUGAUGUUAAUAGGCAUCCAGCUUGUCGUCUAAGACAAUAAUAUAAAUAUAAUUAAUCAAGUUAAAACAGAUGACUCCGAUGCAGACCGCUC